GAAACAUCUUAGUACCCGGAGGAAGAGAAAGAAAAUUCGAUUCCCUUAGUAGCGGCGAGCGAAACGGGAAGAGCCCAAACCAACAAGCUUGCUUGUUGGGGUUGUAGGACACUCUAUACGGAGUUACAAAGGACGACAUUAGACGAAUCAUCUGGAAAGAUGAAUCAAAGAAGGUAAUAAUCCUGUAGUCGAAAAUGUUGUCUCUCUUGAGUGGAUCCUGAGUACGACGGAGCACGUGAAAUUCCGUCGGAAUCUGGGAGGACCAUCUCCUAAGGCUAAAUACUCUCUAGUGACCGAUAGUGAACCAGUACCGUGAGGGAAAGGUGAAAAGCACCCCGGAAGGGGAGUGAAAUAGAACCUGAAACCGUGUGCUUACAAGUAGUCAGAGCCCGUUAAUGGGUGAUGGCGUGCCUUUUGUAGAAUGAACCGGCGAGUUACGAUUUGAUGCAAGGUUAAGCAGUAAAUGUGGAGCCGUAGCGAAAGCGAGUCUGAAUAGGGCGUUUAGUAUUUGGUCGUAGACCCGAAACCAGGUGAUCUACCCUUGGUCAGGUUGAAGUUCAGGUAACACUGAAUGGAGGACCGAACCGACUUACGUUGAAAAGUGAGCGGAUGAACUGAGGGUAGCGGAGAAAUUCCAAUCGAACCUGGAGAUAGCUGGUUCUCUCCGAAAUAGCUUUAGGGCUAGCCUCAAGUGAUGAUUAUUGGAGGUAGAGCACUGUUUGGACGAGGGGCCCCUCUCGGGUUACCGAAUUCAGACAAACUCCGAAUGCCAAUUAAUUUAACUUGGGAGUCAGAACAUGGGUGAUAAGGUCCGUGUUCGAAAGGGAAACAGCCCAGACCACCAGCUAAGGUCCCAAAAUAUAUGUUAAGUGGAAAAGGAUGUGGCGUUGCCCAGACAACUAGGAUGUUGGCUUAGAAGCAGCCAUCAUUUAAAGAGUGCGUAAUAGCUCACUAGUCGAGUGACACUGCGCCGAAAAUGUACCGGGGCUAAACAUAUUACCGAAGCUGUGGAUUGUCCUUUGGACAAUGGUAGGAGAGCGUUCUAAGGGCGUUGAAGCAUGAUCGUAAGGACAUGUGGAGCGCUUAGAAGUGAGAAUGCCGGUGUGAGUAGCGAAAGACGGGUGAGAAUCCCGUCCACCGAUUG
rnacentral:rRNA from 1 species